CACAAUUUCCUCUUGAAAUGGCAAAAUCUUUUAAAAGUCACUUUUAUUUCUUCAUGUUUGCACUGCAAAACAUGCUGCCAAGUUUAGUGCAAGUUGACCUGCAACACUCGCAUUAUAACCAGCCACAGAGGAGCAAGCUGGCAGGUUGCUGACUGCAGGCAAUGUAUAUUUAGGCCACUAAUCAACCUAUAAAUAGACAAAUCAUUGCUAGAGAUUAUCUCGAGCAGGCCUAUAGAUUUGAAAGGGGAUUUGUUUUUGUUUCUACCUGCAGCCUCUGCGUUCAAACACACGCUCAGUGAAAGCAGGUAGAGUUUGUUGUCUGCUGUGACUCUCCAACUCAACCAAUAGGCCUGAGCUGCUAAUUAAGUCCGUGGUGAUUUCAGCCCCCAGAGAUGUUUUACGGUGCAAUUAAGGACGCGCUGAUGAUGAAGCGGGAUUAUAGUGCUCGCAGCAGCCCGCCCCAUUAGUUUGUUUCUGGGUGACAUCAGAGGGAGUACCUGGAAGAAGACCUCAGGGCAUUUACAACAUAUGCUUGGAUUAUGCUUAAUGGUCUAAUUACAUAAAUUAGGCAUUCAUUAUACGGCACAUCAUCUGUAACAGAUAUCUCAAUUGUACGGAGGCGGGAACAUCUAAUUCAAUUUGUCUGCAGCAGUUUCACUCUGUGACCAUCAGAUGGGGACACAUGGUUGAUGAUCUAUGUAUCUCUAUAUAUGAUCUAUAUAUAAUUGCAUUUGCCUUAAGUAUAAUUAAUAUAUCUAUAUCUAUCUAUCUAUCUAUCUAUCUAUCUAUCUAUCUAUCUAUCUAUCCAUCUACACAUCUAUCCAUUUAUCCAUCUAUCUAUCUAUCUGAUUUUAUAAGUAUAAUUAAAUGAGUCACUGUUAUUUUGAGUCAAUAUGACAAUUUUGGACAAUAUAAAACACAUCUAUCCAUCUAUCU